UGGUGGAGUGAUUUGUCUGGUUAAUUCCGUUAACGAACGAGACCUCAGCCUACUAAAUAGUGUUGCUAUUCGUAAGAAUGGUAAUGCUUCUUAGAGGGACAUUUCGGUUCUACCGGAAGGAAGUUUGAGGCAAUAACA
rnacentral:rRNA from 1 species